rnacentral:ncRNA from 1 species
AAAACAGCCAUGAUCGGGACAACAGUCUGAACAGGGCCACAGAGAGCCGGGUUGGGUGGAAGCCGGCGCCACUGACAGUCUGGUCUCACCCGGGAGCUGCCCUCGUGAAAGUGUGAUCCACACGAGUAAUUGGGGCCGGGUUUUCAGAACCCGUUAUCAAAAGGCACAGGGUAUGUAUGUAUUUUGUGCAUGAGUGGCUCUUGCUAAGAGCAAUCAGGGUGGUACCGCGGAAGGAUAAACCUCUCGUCCCUGGC